AGAUCACACCACUUAGCUGUCAUUUUCAUUCUUCCAAACAGAACUGAUCUGGCAUGAAGGAGAGAGAAGAGGUGUAUGAGUGAAAUUCAUCUGACAAGAAAAAGAAAGCAAGAGUGCCACUGGGUUAGGGUCUCCCCGACCGAGCUGGUCUCGGCAAGUGGCGUCCAUCGUGGGGGCUCGAAUCCAAGUCAAAGGAUUGCUGGAGCGACGGUUGGAAUGGAAAACUAGCUGGAGGACACCCGAGUACUCUUAAAGCAAUCCCCGUGAUACAGCAUUACCUGGAAAGAAGCUAAAGCUAUUAUCCAGCAAUGCCCAACUUGCCAAAUGGUACAUUCCUCAUCUUUUACAGGAGGAGUUAAUCCUCGAGGACUGGAACCUAACUCUCUUUGGCAAAUGGAUGUCACACAUGUUCCCUCAUUUGGGAGACUAGCUUAUGUACAUGUAUGUGUGGACACCUUUUCUCACUUUGUCUGGGCUACAUACCAAUCAGGAGAGUCUUCUGCCUGUGUUAAACGUCAUCUUUUGCAGUGUUUUGCGGUGAUGGGCAUU
ensembl:lncRNA C12orf75-AS1 C12orf75 antisense RNA 1